UACGGGGGGGGCAAGCGUUGUUCGGAAUUACUGGGCGUAAAGGGCGCGCAGGCGGCUCAUCAAGUCAGAUGUGAAAGCCCCGGGCUCAACCUGGGAAUCGCAUUUGGGACUGAUGGGCUAGAGUUCGGGAGAGGAGAGUGGAAUUCCCAGUGUAGAGGUGAAAUUCGUAGAUAUUGGGAAGAACACCGGUGGCGAAGGCGGCUCUCUGGACCGAGACUGACGCUGAGGCGCGAAAGCGUGGGGAGCAAACAGG
rnacentral:rRNA from 1 species